CUGGCUCAGGAUGAACGCUAGCGAUAGGCCUAACACAUGCAAGUCGAGGGGCAGCACAUGAAGUAGCAAUACGGAUGGUGGCGACCGGCGCACGGGUGAGUAACGCGUAUGCAACCUACCUACAACAGGGGAAUAACUCGUUGAAAGACGGACUAAUACCCCAUAAUACAGGGAUCCCGCAUGGGAAUAUUUGUUAAAGAUUUAUCGGUUGUAGAUGGGCAUGCGUUCCAUUAGCUAGUUGGUGAGGUAACGGCUCACCAAGGCAACGAUGGAUAGGGGAACUGAGAGGUUUAUCCCCCACACUGGUACUGAGACACGGACCAGACUCCUACGGGAGGCAGCAGUGAGGAAUAUUGGUCAAUGGACGCAAGUCUGAACCAGCCACGUCGCGUGAAGGAAGACGGCCCUACGGGUUGUAAACUUCUUUUGUAAGGGAAUAAAGUGAGCCACGUGUGGCUUUUUGCAUGUACCUUACGAAUAAGGAUCGGCUAACUCCGUGCCAGCAGCCGCGGUAAUACGGAGGAUCCGAGCGUUAUCCGGAUUUAUUGGGUUUAAAGGGUGCGCAGGCGGGGGAUUAAGUCGGCGGUGAAAUUUUGCAGCUCAACUGUAAAAGUGCCUUCGAA
rnacentral:rRNA from 1 species